GACGAACGCUGGCGGCGUGCUUAACACAUGCAAGUCGAGCGAUGAAGUUUCUUCGGAAAUGGAUUAGCGGCGAACGGGUGAGGAACACGUGAAGAAUCUGCCCUCCACUUUGGGAUAACACCGGGAAACCGGUGCUAAUACUGAAUAUUGAAACAUAAGUGGCAUCACUGAGUUUUGAAAGAAUUUCGGUGGAGGAUGACUUCGCGGCCUAUCAGCUAGUUGGUGGGGUAAUGGCUCACCAAGGCAACGACGGGUAGCCGGCCUGAGAGGGCGACCGGCCACACUGGGACUGAGACACGGCCCAGACUCCUACGGGAGGCAGCAGUGGGGAAUAUUGGGCAAUGGAGGAAACUCUGACCCAGCGACGCCGCGUGCGGGAUGAAGGCCUUCGGGUUGUAAACCGCUUUCAGUAGGGAAGAAGCGAAAGUGACGGUACCUACAAAAGAAGCACCGGCUAACUAUGUGCCAGCAGCCGCAGUAA
rnacentral:rRNA from 1 species